AGAGAUACUCUAAGGCAAGUGUUCACAAACUACUGCCUACAGGCUUGCCAUCUAUUAAAAAAUAUAUAUGCACCCGGGGAUAAUGUCAGGUGAAGAGAAAGACAGAGAUUGAAGUGAUGCAGCCGAGGAAUGUCAAAGAUUGCCAGCAAACCACCACAAGCUAGAAGAGAAGCAUGGAACAGAUUCUGGCAGCCCUCAGAAAGAAUCAACCCUGCCAAUACCUUGAUCUCAGAUGUCUGGCCUCCAGAACUUUCUGAGCAGAAGGGAAAACGAGGCUUGAAGAUAAGGCCUGGAGAAGGGAGAAAUACGGUAA